AACGAACGCUGGCGGCAGGCUUAACACAUGCAAGUCGAGCGCCCCGCAAGGGGAGCGGCAGACGGGUGAGUAACGCGUGGGAACGUACCCUUUACUACGGAAUAACGCAGGGAAACUUGUGCUAAUACCGUAUGUGCCCUUUGGGGGAAAGAUUUAUCGGUAAGGGAUCGGCCCGCGUUGGAUUAGCUAGUUGGUGGGGUAAAGGCCUACCAAGCGACGAUCCAUAGCUGGUCUGAGAGGAUGAUCAGCCACAUUGGGACUGAGACACGGCCCAAACUCCUACGGGGAGGCAGCAGUGGGGAAUAUUGGACAAUGGCGCAAGCCUGAUCCAGCCAUGCCGCGUGAGUGAUGAAGGCCCUAGGUUGUAAAGCUCUUUCACCGGAGAAGAUAAUGACGGUAUCCGGAGAAGAAGCCCCGGCUAACUUCGUGCCAGCAGCCGCGGUAAUACGAAGGGGGCUAGCGUUGUUCGGAAUUACUGGGCGUAAAGCGCACGUAGGCGGA
rnacentral:rRNA from 1 species